rnacentral:rRNA from 1 species
AUUGAACGCUGGCGGCAGGCUUAACACAUGCAAGUCGAACGAGUGGCGGACGGGUGAGUAAUGCUUGGGAAUCUAGCUUAUGGAGGGGGAUAACUACGGGAAACUGUAUCUAAUAACGCGUACCAUAAGAUGAACCCAAGUGGGAGUAGGUAGUUGGUGAGGUAACGGCUCACCAAGCCGACGAUCUCUAGCUGGUCUGAGAGGAGGACCGGCAACACUGGGACUGAGACACGGCCAAGACUCCUACGGGAGGAAGCAGUGGGGAACAUUGCGAAAGGGCGGCAACCUGACGCAGCCAUGCCGCGUGAAUGAAGAAGGCCUUCGGGUGGUAAAGUUCUUUCGGUAGCGAGGCGUUAACUACAGAAGAAGCACCGGCUAACUCCGUGCCAGCCGCCGCGGUAAUUC